GGCUGUCCUUGGGCACAUUGGGCGAAGGCUCAUGCAGGCUUGUUUCCCUUCCCAGCUUGGUUCUGUGACUGUUGCAAUGGACUUCAGCGCCUGGCAGGAAGUGCCUGGCUCACCUCCGUUCCAGCAACUGUGGCUGCCACUGCUGAUGGAGGACUGAGAGACACAACCCACGGCCAGGUUUCAGCACAGGCUCAGGACCUGGGCACCUCAGAUUUUCCACGCCAGCUGGAAACAGGACAUGAAAGAUUAAGACUGAAACAAGCCACCUUUUAACUGUCCAACUGAGCACCAAACAGUAGCGCUGACGACCCAGAGUUGCUCUACAGGAAGCAGCAUGUUGCAAAUCAACAACCACGUUCCAAUGUGGGGCUCAUCCACUGCCAUUUGUUUUCUUGGCCCAGCCUCUUAGUUUGAGGGCCACUCCUCUCUGCCUGCCAGGCACAGCUACCUGUCACUAGAUUUCAGUUUCAUUCCCUCCGGCGGAUGAUUACUUAUCUCUUCAAGCUCUCUCCCAGGGCAGAGCCUACAUUUUCUGUCACCCUCAUCACACCCUCCAAAAUUGGUAAAAAUCUAUCCAGCCAUUUUCACAAGAUGUGGUAAAGUCAAAGAAACAUAAACUUCAUAUCUAAAAUACAAUUUUGUUUAUUUUGGAAUCUAUGUGAUUCCAAAAUCAGAUUUUAUGGGAUCAAUAUUUAUGAACUUUUAAAUUAUCGAUAGCCUUGAGAAUGAGGAUUCGAUUUUGAAUUUUUUUCGUUGACAUCUCCUGCAUGUCUCAAGCUCUGGGCCAGCCAUCUGUAUAACUGCAGACACUGUCUUCCACUUCAGCUGUUACUUCUUAGUCUUGGACCACCAUCCUGUGAAAUGAGAGGGCAGAGGCAGGAUCCCUGGAGCCAAAGACGCAGAGGCAGUGGCCAUAUUCACCUGAAAUGGACAAGCUCCUUGGGCUGGAGCAUGGGCGCGCUUUAGCCUCCUUCCACCUAUAGCGUUCUGAACCUGUUUGGGGUGGAGGGGAGUGCACCAAUCACAGGUCCACACCAAAGCCCUCAGCCCCUUUAGACAGCUACAGCCACUCCCAGCCAAAGGCCAGGCCACUAAGGAGCCCUGAACACCACAUCCUCUGGGGCCACACUUAGGAGGAAAGUUGUCUUCCCACAGCUGAAGCCAUUGAUAGGCUGAGCUAGCCCCUCUUCUAUGAUCAAAACUGUGUGUGUCUAUUGGGCAAUCGAAUAUCAAUAGUGACUGAAACUCCCAUUUCCUUCCAGCCCAAGCAUGCUCUGCAACAGGGGAGGAAAUGGUGGCUAUUGACUAAGUGUCUCCAAGGUGCUUUCACAAGAUGCUUGGUGCUUUGUAUAUAUUAUCUCAUUUAAUUCACAACCACCAUUGGAAUAAGGCAUUUUAAUCCCCAUUUCAUGGCUGAGAAAGUUGAGGUUCAGAAACGUUAAGUCACUUGACUGAGGUCCUGUAGAUGACAAGUGGCAGGGUCCAACCCAAGAAUGACUAGUAUGUUCAUAAUCAGACUGCCACAGCAGGCCAAGACAGGGUGGGCAGAGGGGGUGCAAACACUGCUCCAUAAUCCCACCCCUGAUGAAUGGACAGCCAUCUAUGACAGGAUCACCGUGACUGGGUCUUUGUUCCAGUGCUGAAUGCAUGCACACACACCCACACACGUGCACAUACACACACUCACAUGCACCACAGGGUGCCGGAGUAAUGUGGCUGUUUUGAUCUGCUCUGAGGUUCCUAACUCAAAGCACUGAAGUCCUGGGCUCGGCUUGAAUUCAACCUGAGCCGAGAGCUGGCCAGGCCUCAGAAACGCGGGGCCGUCCAUCACUUAUGUCUCAGGUCUGCUCCUCGGAGAGCUGGAGUUGACCACAACUGCCUUGGCACAGUUCCACUGUGAGGGAGUCACAAAACUGGCAUUUAAGUCCGGAGCGGAAAAAACACCCCAAGCUUGUUCGUUUUUCUGACAGGUGCUGGAGCCCAUGAAAGGUCAGAUUCCAGCUCGCAGUCACAUCCUGGCUUAGCUGGCUCCAGGCACACAAAGGCCUGUCUGUCUCGCCCCAGCGCGGGGAGCGGGGAUGGAGGCCAAGGGCUUAAAAUGGCCGCCCGAUGGCCUGCUCCUGCUGAUCCAUUCCUUCACGCACAUUGGCCUCAAUGAAGCAUUGGGAAACCCAGCUGCCAGGGAUGUGUGAAACGGGAGGAAUGAAGAAGAAUGCAGGCUUUUUUCUUAUUUGGAAUUGCAAGAGAUAUUAACCCCCCGGCAGCCCAUGAAUCCAUGCCCUGACAUCAGCCUGCUGUGGCUCAUUUUGUAAGAGCCCCGGGGACACUUCUGUUUCAUGUUCAAAGCCUUACCAGGCUGGAAAAUUGAGUGAGAGCUGUCCCUCCAAGCCCUCAGCAAGGAUGUUGGGAAAUGAAGGAGUUUAUUCUCUUCCUUGCUGGUGCAUCAGGGAUAGCUCAGAAUCGUGGUGUUACUGGAACAGAGGGCGUGUGUUUAAAUGCACGUAGCCACAUGCUUUCAUCCAGGAAGGUUUAUUUUUGCAGCCUUUAUGAAAACAUCCUCCAAUUCAAAAUGGCUCCAAGGACCCACAGUCCUGUAUUUUAAGUUUCUCACCAGCAGCUGUAGGCUGAGAUUCUUUACCGCUUCUAACUUCUUCAAAAGAUCUCACCACCCUCUCUUGUCACAUGACUCCUUCCCCUCCCUCUCUGUCACCUCCCCAUAACUUUACGCCAAAUUAUAAUGCUGACAAGAAGCCAAAAGUUACAGUGGCUGCUGCACAUCAUCCUUGUAAAGAAUCCUGAGUGAUAUUGAUCAUAUAAUAAAAACUUCGACAGCUUCUUUU